rnacentral:rRNA from 2 species
GACGAUUCCUACGGGAGGCAGCAGUGGGGAAUAUUGCACAAUGGGCGAAAGCCUGAUGCAGCAACGCCGCGUGAGUGAUGAAGGCCUUCGGGUUGUAAAGCUCUGUCUUCUGGGACGAUAAUGACGGUACCAGAGGAGGAAGCCACGGCUAACUACGUGCCAGCAGCCGCGGUAAU